CCAGACUCCUACGGGAGGCAGCAGUAGGGAAUUUUGCGAAAUGGGCGCAAGCCUGACCCAGCAACGCCGCGUGAAGGAAGAAGGCUUUCGGGUUGUAAACUUCUUUUAUUCGGGACGAAGCAAGUGACGGUACCGAAUGAAUAAGCCACGGCUAACUACGUGCCAGCAGCCGCGGUAAUACGUAGGUGGCGAGCGUUAUCCGGAUUUACUGGGUGUAAAGGGCGUGUAGGCGGGAGUGCAAGUCAGAUGUGAAAACUAUGGGCUCAACCCAUAGCCUGCAUUUGAAACUGUACUUCUUGAGUGCUGGAGAGGCAAUCGGAAUUCCGUGUGUAGCGGUGAAAUGCGUAGAUAUACGGAGGAACACCAGUGGCGAAGGCGGAUUGCUGGACAGUAACUGACGCUGAGGCGCGAAAGCGUGGGGAGCAAACAGGAUUAGAUACCCUAGUACC
rnacentral:rRNA from 1 species